AGGAGGGGAAGUUGUAAUUAGGGUAUAUUAUGUGAGGAAAAAUCUAUUUUCUACAAAAGGAAAACUUUUUUUAAAAUACAAUAACACAUUUGUGACAAAUAUAAAAAUUUAUAGCCUCUUUUUAAAUACUCACAAGACACUGUUUCAUGGACAUUAUAAAUUGUAUAUUCAUUGUUAAAAUUUCUUUUUUUUUAUUAUUUGUUUAACAGCUGGGAUUCAAAGUGUUAGAGAUCUGCCUGACUCCAGAGGAAAAAUUCUAACUAUUGAUUUUUAAGCGUCACUUCAGAAGAACAUACAUAUGCUUCCGAGUCAGUGUGACUGUUCCCUUAAAUCACAACACUAACUUUCUGGCUUUUCAAAAGUCAUAAAGUUAACUUUGUGAUUUUAUAUUAUAAAACUACUCCAUAUGUAAAACAUAGGCAUGUCUGACAAACAGUAAAUACAUUCAGCCUGGGUACCAACCGAAAAAACUUUAAAAGACCCAUACAUUUAUUAUUUCAAAAGGACACCCUAGAUCCCCCCAUAAAUGGAAAGCCAGCCUCUCGUGCCAUGAAUAGAAAGUUAUCUUAAAAAUAAGCAUAGUGAAAACAAAACAAUGUCACAAAACUCCAGCCGGAUCUGGUGGCCGGCACAGGGCUCUGGGGGCCCUUUCUCUAUUGAAACAGGAAGUGUUCACAGAGCGUGGAAAGCACGCCAGCAGUCAGGGAGAUGGUCUCCGUAGUAACAAACUGAAGGGAACUGCCGAGGGAAGAAAGCUCCCCUCUGGGUCCGCUGCUGCUUUUGGAUUAGUGGGGCUCCCAGCAGGCCCAGGUGUGUCCUGCUAUGCCCCGCCCACUCAGGAGCCUCAGGUGUACAACUGUGAACUCUUCAGAUUACUGACCACUCUGGG
rnacentral:lncRNA from 1 species